rnacentral:rRNA from 1 species
CGUCAAAGCUUAAUUCCUAACACUUUAAUUAAUUCCUUAAUCCAAGAGAACCCCUCACCAAUACUGAAUGAUCUUAUACCUUUAUAAGACCCUUUAUGUUAAAACUAGUAACAAGAAAUAAGCCUUCUCUUAUUAUGUAAGCAUACAUCAGAACAGACAAUCUACUGACCUAUAACAGCCAUAAAUUUUAGUAACACCACCCUAAGAAAACUUUACUUGAACAACUGUCAACCUAACACAAGAACAUAAAAAGAAAGAUUAUAAGAAAAAGAAGGAACUCGGCAAAUUUUGAUUCCGCCUGUUUACCAAAAACAUCGCCUCCUGCUUAUAUAUAGGAGGUCCAGCCUGCCCAGUGACAUAGUUUAACGGCCGCGGUAUCCUAACCGUGCGAAGGUAGCGUAAUCAUCUGUUUUUUAAUUAAAGACCCGUAUCAAAGGCAUCACGAGAAUCGCACUGUCUCCUUUUUUCAAUCAGUGAACCUAAUCUCCUCGUGAAAAAGCGAGAAUAAUUAUACAAGACGAGAAGACCCUUUGGAGCUUUAGAUAAAGUAAUAUUUUGCUUCACCAACAAUCCCCACCUACAUAAUUAUAGCAUCCAUCUUACAAAUCUUCGGUUGGGGCAACCGCGGAGCAAAAAACAACCUCCAAGCUGAACGGAACUUUCCUUAACAAAAAGCCACAACUUUAUGUAUCAACAAAUUGACAUUAUGACCCAAUAUUUUGAUUAUCGAACCAAGUUACCCUAGGGAUAACAGCGCAAUCUACUUCAAGAGCCCAUAUCGACAAGUAGGCUUACGACCUCG